UUAAGCAUAUUAAUUAGGGGAGGAAAAGAAACUAACCAGGAUUUUCUUAGUAGCGGCGAGCGAAAAGAAAUCAGUUCAGCACUAAGUCACUUUGUCUAUAUGGCAAACGUGAGAUGCAGUGUAUGGAGCGUCAAUAUUCUAGUAUGAGAAAUUAACGAUUUAAGUCCUUCUUAAAUGAGGCCAUUUACCCAUAGAGGGUGCCAGGCCCGUAUAACGUUAAUGAUUACUAGAUGAUGUUUCCAAAGAGUCGUGUUGCUGAUAGUGCAGCACUAAGUGGGUGGUAAACUCCAUCUAAAACUAAAUAUAACCAUGAGACCGAUAGUAAACAAGUACCGUGAGGGAAAGUUGAAAAGAACUCUGAAUAGAGAGUUAAACAGUACGUGAAACUGCUUAGAGGUUAAGCCCGAUGAACCUGAAUAUCCGUUAUGGAAAAUUCAUCAUUAAAGUUGUAAUAUUUUAACAUAUUAUAAUAAUAGUGUGCAUUUUUUCCAUAUAAGGACAUUGUAAUCUAUUAGCAUAUAACAAAUUUAUCAUAAAAUAUGACUUAUAGUUUAUUCAAAUUAUUAUGCUUGCAUUUUAACAUAGAAUAAAUGUCAUUAAUUUGAUAAAGUGUUGAUAAAUUAAAAUUAAUACAGUGCGUUAAUUUUUCGAAAUUAUAUAAUGGCAUAAUUAUCAUUGAUUUUUGUGUUUAUUAUAUGCAUUUGUAUGAUUAACAAUGCGAAAGAUUCAGGAUACCUUCGGGACCGUCUUGAAACACGGACCAAGGAGUCUAACAUAUGUGCAAGUUAUUGGGAGAUAAACCUAAUAGCGUAAUUAACUUGACUAAUAAUGGGAUUAGUUUUUUAACUAUUUAUAGAUAAUUAACACAAUCCCGGGGCGUUCUAUAUAGUUAUGUAUAAUAAUAUUUAUAUUAUUUAUGCCUCUAACUGGAACGUACCUUGAGCAUAUAUGCUGUGACCCGAAAGAUGGUGAACUAUACUUGAUCAGGUUGAAGUCAGGGGAAACCCUGAUGGAAGACCGAAACAGUUCUGACGUGCAAAUCGAUUGUCAGAAUUGAGUAUAGGGGCGAAAGACCAAUCGAACCAUCUAGUAGCUGGUUCCUUCCGAAGUUUCCCUCAGGAUAGCUGGUGCAUUUUAAUGUUAUAUAAAAUAAUCUUAUCUGGUAAAGCGAAUGAUUAGAGGCCUUAGGGUCGAAACGAUCUUAACCUAUUCUCAAACUUUAAAUGGGUAAGAACCUUAACUUUCUUGAUAUGAAGUUUAAGGUUAUGAUAUAAUGUGCCCAGUGGGCCACUUUUGGUAAGCAGAACUGGCGCUGUGGGAUGAACCAAACGUAAUGUUACGGUGCCCAAAUUAACAACUCAUGCAGAAACCAUGAAAGGCGUUGGUUGCUUAAAACAGCAGGACGGUGAUCAUGGAAGUCGAAAUCCGCUAAGGAGUGUGUAACAACUCACCUGCCGAAGCAACUAGCCCUUAAAAUGGAUGGCGCUUAAGUUGUAUACCUAUACAUUACCGCUAAAGUAGAUGAUUUAUAUUACUUGUGAUAUAAAUUUUGAAACUUUAGUGAGUAGGAAGGUACAAUGGUAUGCGUAGAAGUGUUUGGCGUAAGCCUUCAUGGAGCUGCCAUUGGCACAGAUCUUGGUGGUAGUAGCAAAUAAUCGAAUGAGACCUUGGAGGACUGAAGUGGAGAAGGGUUUCGUGUGAACAGUGGUUGAUCACGAGUUAGUCGGUCCUAAGUUCAAGGCGAAAGCCGAAAAUUUUCAAGUAAAAAAUCAGUGAGUAAUAUUGUCAAAUCUUUUAUGAUUUUUAAAUACUUGAAUAAUUUUGAACGAAAGGGAAUACGGUUCCAAUUCCGUAACCUGUUGAGUAUCCGUUUGUUAUUAAAUAUGGGCCUCGUGCUCAUCCUGGCAACAGGAACGACCAUAAAGAAGCCGUCGAGAGAUAUCGGAAGAGUUUUCUUUUCUGUUUUAUAGCCGUACUACCAUGGAAGUCUUUCGCAGAGAGAUAUGGUAGAUGGGCUAGAAGAGCAUGACAUAUACUGUUGUGUCGAUAUUUUCUCCUCGGACCUUGAAAAUUUAUGGUGGGGACACGCAAACUUCUCAACAGGCCGUACCAAUAUCCGCAGCUGGUCUCCAAGGUGAAGAGUCUCUAGUCGAUAGAAUAAUGUAGGUAAGGGAAGUCGGCAAAUUAGAUCCGUAACUUCGGGAUAAGGAUUGGCUCUGAAGAUUGAGAUAGUCGGGCUUGAUUGGGAAACAAUAACAUGGUUUAUGUGCUCGUUCUGGGUAAAUAGAGUUUCUAUCAUUUAUGGUAGUUACUUGUUCCCCGGAUAGUUUAGUUACGUAGCCAAUUGUGGAACUUUCUUGCUAAAAUUUUUAAGAAUACUAAUUGGGUUAAACCAGUUAGUUCUUAUUAAUUAUAACGAUUAUCAAUUAACAAUCAAUUCAGAACUGGCACGGACUUGGGGAAUCCGACUGUCUAAUUAAAACAAAGCAUUGUGAUGGCCCUAGCGGGUGUUGACACAAUGUGAUUUCUGCCCAGUGCUCUGAAUGUCAAAGUGAAGAAAUUCAAGUAAGCGCGGGUCAACGGCGGGAGUAACUAUGACUCUCUUAAGGUAGCCAAAUGCCUCGUCAUCUAAUUAGUGACGCGCAUGAAUGGAUUAACGAGAUUCCUACUGUCCCUAUCUACUCGAGUUGCUUUUUGACUGCCAUUCGAAGCAGACGUGUUUUUCAAGCGGUCCGCUAUACCGUCGUUCGAAUUAAGUAAAAAGUGAUUUUUCCAAGUGGAAAAUAUAUCAAAAUUGCCGCGAGAUCACGCGCUGUUCGUGAGUGAAAUCGGGUGUUAAUUUGGUGAAAGAACAAAGCAGAUAUUUGCAAAUUAAUAUUUGCAAAAUAAACGCUAAAAACAACCACGUGCGGAACCCUAGUUCGUAAACAAGUGCGAAUAGUUCGACAACAAGUCGGAAUAGUUCGACAGCACGUUCGAGUUCGAAGCUUUGGUUCGAAGCUUUGGCUCGAGUUCGAAGCGUUCGGUUCGUGUCUCCGCUGAGAAGUUGGUUCGAGUCUCCACUAAGUGCCGAUUAGUUGAGUCACGCCAAUAGAGGUAGCCACAACCGCCGGGCUAUGGAAAUAGAGACGGAGGCCGACGCCAGCGACACUAGCGUGGCUAGUGUAGGGGCGAGCUCGUCGUCGAGCGUUCCCGCCCGCAGGCGGGGUCGGCCGAAGUCCUCAGCCGCCAAACAGGGAGCCAAAAAGAUCGGGCUUGGGAUUGGGCUAGCUGGAGAGCGGCCGAUCCCAGCCGAGAGAUCGCCGCCAACGUCGCUCCCCUUUGAGCAGGCUCCAUCCACCUCUGCCGCUGCCGCUGCCACCACCGCUGCCAGUACUUCUGCCGCCGCUGCCGCCACCGCUGCCGCCACCGCUGCCGCCACCGCUGCCACCACCGCUGCCACCACCGCUGCCACAUGCCCGGCAACUGACAUUGU
rnacentral:rRNA from 1 species